GGGUUUUGCGCACAAAGCUGCUGCCGUAGAAGUGGAAGAGCAGCAGCGUGGGUCGCACAUCAACAAUCAGGCCAGAGGCUGGGCGGGCGCCGGGCGAUCGCGGCGCUCCGCUCCUCUGGGCCUGCGGCCGAGCGCAUGGAAUUUUCCACCGGUGGGCAGACCCGCAGAGCCUUGUCCCAUUGGCGGAGCGUGGUGGCGUCGCCGCGUGGGUGCGGAGGCUUCCUGGGAGUUGUAAAAUCCACCCUACCUCUGGCUAGCUGGGAGCGUUUGUUGAGUGAACGGAAGGAAUGGACUCUGUGACAGCUAGAGGAGCCCUAGCUCACAGGUGCUCACAGCCCGAGCACAAGCGGGUGGAUGGACAAACAAAGCCGGCUCCCAGCCCCUGGGGCGCUGCUCAGCUGUGGAAAGGAAGAGCAAGCUGACGCGUGUCACGCGGUGCUCACCCUGAAAAACGUGCCAGGUGGAAACAGCAGCUGAAGACACAGGCGCCUUAUCAUGUGCAUGCUGAGCUGGGCCUUAAAGACCGGCACAGCCAAGGUUAAUGUAGCUGGGCCGAGGGGUGUGCGCCUCCCAGAUGCCUACAGCAUAGGUGGAAAACCUAUGGCUUCCCGGCAUUGUGAAUUACUGCCACUGGACUCUGAAAUGCUUACUCUCACAUCGCGUGGAU